CGGGCUGUAGCGUAGCUUGGUUAACGCGCUAGCCUGGGGGGCUAGAGAUCGCUGGUUCGAGUCCAGUCAGCCCGACCA
rnacentral:tRNA from 1 species